rnacentral:rRNA from 1 species
CUAGGAUGAACGCUGGCGGCGUGCUUAACACAUGCAAGUCGAACGAAGCACCUCUAAUCGAAGAUUGAGAAAGCUUGCUUUGAUUGAUUCACCUUGAGGUGACUGAGUGGCGGACGGGUGAGUAACGCGUGGGUAACCUACCCUAUACAGGGGGAUAACAGUUGGAAACGACUGCUAAUACCGCAUAAGCGCACAGGACCGCAUGGUCUAGUGUGAAAAACUCCGGUGGUAUAGGAUGGACCCGCGUCUGAUUAGCUAGUUGGUGAGGUAACGGCUCACCAAGGCGACGAUCAGUAGCCGACCUGAGAGGGUGACCGGCCACAUUGGGACUGAGACACGGCCCAAACUCCUACGGGAGGCAGCAGUGGGGAAUAUUGCACAAUGGGCGAAAGCCUGAAUGCAGCGACGCCGCGUGAACGAAGAAGUAUUUCGGUAUGUAAAGUUCUAUCAGCAGGGAAGAAAAAUGACGGUACCUGACUAAGAAGCUCCGGCUAAAUACGUGCCAGCCGCCGC